rnacentral:piRNA from 1 species
UGGCCGCCUGUACUGAUCUGAGCUGA